GGGAACCACAGCGCCGCGCAUCUUGUCGGAGGCGCGGCGCUUUCGGCAGG
rnacentral:sRNA from 1 species